AUACGGAGGACGCGAGCGUUAUCCGGAUUCAUUGGGUUUAAAGGGUGCGCAGGCGGCCGUGCAAGUCAGCGGUGAAAGCCCGGGGCUCAACCCCGGAAGUGCCGUUGAUACUGCGUGGCUGGAAUGCGGUCGAGGCGGGCGGAACGUGGCGUGUAGCGGGGAAAUGCGUAGAUAUGCAACAGAAGACCAAUAGCGGAGGCGGCUCGCGAGGCCUGUAUUGACGCUGAUGCACGAAGGCAUGGGGAUCGAACAGGAUUAGAUGCCCUGGUAGGCCACGCCGUAAACGAUGAUCACUCGCUGUCGGCGAUACACAGUCAGCGGCUAAGCAAAAGCAUUAAGUGAUCCACCUGGGGAGUACGGCCGCAAGGCUGAAACUCAAAGGAAUUGACGGGG
rnacentral:rRNA from 1 species